AAGGAGACAAUAUUCAUCUUCCCCUCGAUUCGAACACUGAACUAGCGACGAAGCGACAACAACCCCCAUCUCCGGCCUUCAUCAUCUUCUUCUUCUUCUCUUCCCUCCCUUUUCCCUCUGCUCCCCGCUUUGUCGUCGCCGCUGCAACGGCGGAUUUGUACCCAGGGCUCGGCAGCGACAAAACCCCAUAAGAUCUCCCGCUACGGAUCUCUCUCUCUCUCUCUCUCUCUCUUUCUCUCCCAUUAUUUCUCCUCUUUAUUUCUAAGUUCAAACACCUCUCCUUCCCCUACUCUCGAUUUGAACUUCACCGCCGCAGCUGCAACUUCCAGCGACAGCGGUGAUGUUCCCUCUAUACCUCUCUCAUUUUCUCACAACCUCUCAUCAUUCCCCCUCAUUCUCUCAUUGUUUUCCCACUCUUUUCAUGAUCCCCCAUCCUCUGUUCUUUCUUUAUCGUAUCUCCACCCGAACCACCAAUCUCCACCGUUUUCCGCUGUGACAACCUGAUCAAACUGCCAUUUCCAACAACGAAUUCAACCCCCCUCCACCUCUGGUGGUGGAACUCAUCUCCAGUAUCCUGAAAUCGACACAGAUCUUCUCUGUUUUCGUCACUAAUCUCAUGAUCAAGCUCCGUGAAGUUUGAAGAAGAGUGAUGUGCACCCGUAGCAAAUCCGCCUUCCCACUUCCCUGCCUCAUCAAUUCAUUAUAAGGCCCAAAUCCGAUCAGGAAAGGGAAAACUGAUGGAGUCGGUGAUGAAGUUCCACCAAAUCGGCUUCUGUAGGCUCUGUACUCUCACCCAGUUCUGUCAUAGAUUUUCCUUGGUUGUGCAAACUAAGGAAUCUCCAGGAGUUGGAUCUUAGUGGCAACGAUUUCGUGGGUAGUCUCAACCAUUGUUUAGGAAAUUGACAUCCCUUCACGCAUUGGAUCUUUCUUACAAUCAAUUUGAAGGAAGUAUUGACACAUCAAUCAUUACUGGCCUCACUUCUGUUGAAUACCUUUCUCUUUCACAUACUUGGUUCCAAGGCUCAUUUUCAUUUCAUUCAUUCGCUAACCUUCCAAUUGAAGUCUCUUAUCGCUUCCAUUUCCAUGUUUUCUAAAACAACAAUCCUAGAAUGAAAGUUCAAAUCUAUCUAGAUUUUGGGC